UCAAACUUGGUCAUUUAGAGGAAGUAAAAGUCGUAACAAGGUUUCCGUAGGUGAACCUGCGGAAGGAUCAUUACCGAGUUAGGGUUGCCCCCGCGCGCCCGACCUCCAACCCUUUGUCUACCUGACCUUUAUGUUGCUUCGGCAGGCCCGCUGCCCCUCACGGGGUGGCCGCCGGGGGCUUCGUGCCCCGGGCCCGCGCCUGUCGACGGCCCCAACCACAAACUCUUGUCAUUAAACGUGUCGUCUGAGUUAACAAACAAAAUAAAUCAAAACUUUCAACAACGGAUCUCUUGGUUCUGGCAUCGAUGAAGAACGCAGC
rnacentral:misc_RNA from 1 species